GACGCCUGAGAUAGGCACAGACUCCCCGUGACCCGAGAAGUUCGGAUAAGCGGUAGAAGAUGAAUGAAUGAAUGUUUUUCUGUAAUAUUUACUGAAGGAGUCUCCAGUGUUAGCGCUUUGUAUCAGGAGGAGUUUACAAGAGGACGUCUGCUGUAACGUAAGUGAUAUCAGGAGCUCACGGGAUUUCUGGAUGCUUACAGUGAUAGAACCAUGACCGUCAGUUUCCCCUGAGGAGGAUGAUGAUGAUAACGAUGAUGGUGAUGAUGGUGCCUGUCAUGUCUGCCUGCUUGUUCUCACCGUUUUCUCUUUCAUCACUCUGACACGUCGCUUUGAGGCGACUCCAGAACGGUCACAAACACCGGCGGUGCUGCUGUUCAAAGCCCUGCAGCAAACCUCGACUCUAAACACAGCCAUCCUGUCUGAUCACUCGGAAUCCAGUGUGUUUUAUUCCGUGGCACUUUGCUCCGAGUGACACUCCGCAGCUGAGGAUGAUGAGGAAGGCUAUAUCGUAUUUAUCCUAUUACUGCUUAAACCUAGACUUAACGUAUGGACCACUUGUGCUCAUGAAUUCAUUUAUUUAUUUAUUUUUAAUCACUGGAGCCGAUCUGCAGAUUGUAAAAGACGAGAAACAAAGUCAAGGAAACGGGAUAAA